CUGGUUUACGACACUCGCGGCUUUACGACAUCACCUUCCUUACACCUAGAGGCGCUCGCUCUACGACCGGAACCUUGUUGCUAGGGCGAGGGCGGUUUGCGGCAACGGUGGGCGCUGGCGAGCUUUGCAACUGAGGGGCCGAGGGAAAAGUUUCCCCUCAGGUACCCAGUGGGUGGCGGGGAAGCGGGAGACCGCUGGGACCUGGGCUGGGCAAGAUUAUAGGCUCCUAAAAAGCAUUCACCACACUUUGUAUGUUGUGUAUUCUUUAUUCACUAUCCAGACUUGCAGAUACUAACUCUCUGGAAUGAUUUUGGAAAAUUCUGUGAUGGACGCUUACAGCUUUCCUUAAAUCAGGAAGAAUAAAGUCUAAGUUUAAAUUAUGUUUAAAAGUAUGAAGAAUGAAACAAGAUAAUUUUUAUUUUUAGAAGGUUUAUUUCUGUAGGUAAAUGACAGUUCCAUGUCUUGUAUAUAUUUAGGUAUGGACCUUUUAGAGAGGUAUUAUUGAUACCUUUCUACUUAUUGAUAUUGAAGAUAUGCUUGAAAAUGAAUGAGGUUAGUAUUAUACAUCUGCAAAGAAUCAAGACUCUACCUUUAAUUAGCUGGUGCCUAGCAUAGGUGUAAAUAGUGAGUAUGACAGUUUACCUUAAAGGGGAGUAGCAGUGGACUGGGCAGCAAAGAUUUUUUUAAAGAACCUUUUAAAAAUAAUAUUUUUUCUGAUUAAUAAUGAAGAUAGGAUAAAUUAUACAAUAAGGACAAAUGAGAACAUAGAUAAGAUGUAGCUUACACACCAGAAAUCACAGGAUCAUAAUACAAGGUCUUAGAAAAACAAAUCAUCAAUGGUCAAAAAAUAUGAACAGGUAGUUUUGAAAGGAAGAAAUUCAGUCUAUCAGUAACCAUAUACAAAGCAACAAAAAUAAAAGAACAAACUCUAGAUUCUAAGAAUUAGAGAAAUUAAAAUGAAAGCAACUCUGAGGUUCUAUUUUAUAUCCAUCAGAUUUGCAAAAAUUAUAAGGAAAAAAAAGGAAAAUGUCAGAUGUUGGUGGGACUAAGUUAAAAGACAUGUUUAUUAAUAUAGUACCUAUGGGGCUUUAAGUAAGUCUGUACUGGAAUGUAAUUUGGAACUAUGCCCCAAAAGGCACUAAAUUGUGCAUAAUUUUUGACAAGUGAUAAUAUCACAAGGCUAUAGCCCAAAAGAAUCAAACUAAGAAGGAAAGGACCCAGACAAAAAGAAAUUUGUGGCAUUUUUUUUUGUAGUGGCAAGGAAUUGGAAUUUAAUGGCAUAUCCACCAAUUAGGGAACGUCUGAACAAAUAAGACCUAUGAAUGUAAUGGAAUACUAUUCUGUUUUAAGAAAUGAAGGGAACAGUUUCUGAGAAACUUUGGAAGACUUAUAUGAACAGAUAGCAGAGUGAAGUGAGUAGAACUAGGAAAACAAUUUAUAUAGUAGCAAUACUAUAAUGACAACUUGAAAAACUUUAGAACUCUAAUGUGUAAUGACCAUCGAGGUUCCAAAGGACUCCUGAUGAAAUAUGAAAUUCUGGCAGAGAAAUAAUGGAUUCUAGAAUACACAUGUAUGGCAUGUAUUUUGGGGGUAUGAUUUAUUUGGGAUUUUGUUUAAGCUGUUGCUUCAUGCUUAUUUUUUAUAGGAAGUUUUCUUUUUAAUCAGUGUAGAAUAGGAGAGGGAGAAAGUAGAUUUUAAUAAAAAGAAUAAAGUUAAAAAGAAUUAUAUACUUAUUUUAAGUAUUUAGAAGAUGGUAAAGUGCAGUUUAACAUUUUUAUCAUG
rnacentral:lncRNA from 1 species